rnacentral:rRNA from 1 species
CUCGUAGGCGGUUUGUCGCGUCUGCUGUGAAAUCCGGAGGCUCAACCUCCGGCCUGCAGUGGGUACGGGCAGACUAGAGUGCGGUAGGGGAGAUUGGAAUUCCUGGUGUAGCGGUGGAAUGCGCAGAUAUCAGGAGGAACACCAAUGGCGAAGGCAGAUCUCUGGGCCGUAACUGACGCUGAGGAGCGAAAGCAGUGGGGAGCGAACA